GAUCCCCAUCACUUCAAAAUCGUUCCUGAUGUUAUUCAAGAUACCAGCUUUCCCAUUCCCUUAUAGAGUGCAUGAUCUGUGCACUUAAUUUUUUUUUCAUUUUGAUACAUCUGUCCAUUUGGAACUUGAAAAAGAGCCAUUGAAAUUGAGAAUAAUUAUGAAGACAGAAAAAUCAGUACAGGCUGAGGAGGAGCAAUGGCUAAGACCAAUAGGGUGAAGCUGUCUGGAUGCUCGGGGCCAGCACCUCACCACGUGUAAUCAAAGCAUCUCUUCUCCAGGCAGCAGAGCAGUGCCAGCUGUGCCACUUGAGAUCAGAUCUCCGAACCUCCAUGCAUGUGUCAGUCUGCCUACAGGAGCCACCUGAAGUUAUCUGCUUAAAGAAGCAGACCUUCAAAACUUGUGCAGAAAACAUAUUCUGCCAGAAGUUUGCCCUUGUCAGGAAUCACAAAGCCAGGGGUCUUUGCGACAAUGACUUUUACUCAGGCCUCUUGCAUACCUCAGUGCAGAAAAUGUCAUCAGCACUUCCUCAAUUAACUGUGGUGCAUUGUACUUUAACCUGGUUUUGCUUAUCUAGAUUUCAGAUAUCUAUGCUAAUAUCUGCAAUUACUGUUUUAUGUAUUACAAUGUCUUACAAGCAGGUACAAACAGAAAAACCAUGCAACACAGACUGCUCUGUCUGUCAAACAGCAUCCCUUCCAAAAAAUUCCCUUGUAGGCACUACAGAUCUUUUAAAACAUGAAAUGAUACUGUGUUUUUGAGUUCCUCUAAGUGGUGACCUUAUAGACUUCUGACCUGUCCUGUGUCUGGCUGACAGCUGUGCAUGAGAGCGAAACCUCUGCUCUCCCCCUCAAGCACUGCAUGGGAAACCUCCAGCAGCUGGAUGGGUGAGACAAAUGCUAUGUCUCAUAGAACCAUAGAAUGGCUUGGGUUGGAAGGGACCUUAAAGAUCACCGAGCUCCAACUCCCUGCUCUGGGCAGGGUUGCCAACCACAGAAUCAGGCAGCCAGGCUAUCUCAUAAGUCUUGGUAAUACAACUCAGUAACGGCACUAAUCCCAGCAAGAGAUACACAGCACAGGUAACACUGGUAGCUGUGCACAGUGAGGUGAGCAGCACUGAUCAAAGACCAUGAGAUAACGACUGAUAGAGCCGUGCUGCCCUUUUACAGCCAGGAGAAGGAUAACUAUUUAUAACUAUUUAAACAGUUCUCAAGAAUUAAACUUCAGUCAGUAAGGGAAAAUCUUCAGUAAAGUCUGAUAAAAUAAAUAAUCUGUUUGAAGUUUCACACUGACAUGAAUGAAAGUCUGAAUUCAGUAGCAGAUUUAUUGUUAGAAAGUACUCUAUUUACAUGCCAUGCCAUUUCCUUAUGAUAGUAUACCAGACAAGCAUCUUCAAAAGCAGAACACAAAGGCAGUUUGGCUUCUAGUGGAACGUGUCUGAGGACGCAGCUCUAGGAAAAUGCAUGUUCACAAGAUGACAUUUUGAAUGUUUUCAUAACCCAUUCACACAGAAGGAGCAUUUAGUAAGAACAUUGUGGCAGGGCUGCUCAGGGUACAAAUCUCAUUUCAGUGCUUCCUUUUGGGACCAGCCCAGUUCUGUUACGCUCCCCACCUCCCACUGCUGUAUCUGAGCACAGGAGAAGAAGCACCUCUGGGCUGAGGCCUUGGCUCACUGGUAAAGGACAAAAGGCACAUCCCAGCCUGGGUAAGUCCAUCUGGAAAAUAGCUAGAAUAUGACCAGAGAUAAGUAGGUGAAAUGACCAGAACACCAUUAGAGCAUAUGACCCUUAAUUACUACUUCCAGAACACUUUGAUGUCCUUAGGGAGGGAGCAUAUAAAGUUCAAAAUGAGUACUUAAUAAGUGAGAUUUUCAAAAGCAUUUAAAUAGCAAAGGAGUUCCAGAGACCGCUAAGUUCCACGGGGAGCUUUGAAAUUCCCCCUCAAGAUAAUAAUUGUAUGUCCCACUAUUUGUUAAAAAGCCUUUCUUCUCCAGCAACAGCGUGUAUUACUUACACACAUUUGGCAGUCAUGUUUUUGUUCUCUGACUGACUGAAAGCAUAGCCUCGGUGUAUCUCUCUGUGCGUUGUGCAAUAGCAGAUUUAGAAUUUGCAUUUUUUAGAUUACCAGACAAUAAAAAAAAAAUAGAGAUUGCAUAGAUAUGCACCACCCUUCAUUAAAGGCAGCGAUAUUCUCUCCCACCCAGCCCUGCCCAACCAACACAAUAUUGCACAUAUGCCUCCAGACAAUGAGACUACCACACCUUUUGCCUCUAAUUAAAAUUAUUAAGUCAAGAAGGAGAGAAAUGCAUGUUAGUCUGUGCUUGUUGGCCAAAUGUCCCGAUAAAACUGAACAUGUUCUGCUGCUGCCCACCAUCUGUUCUUAUAAAUACUUAUUAAGAACACCGAGGAGGAAAAUAAAUUUGUCAUCACUGACUUUCAGGGAUUUUCACCAACUCUGCCCUCAGGUUUGUCUCUAACGCAGACUAAUAAACAUCUAUGCAACGUGAUACAUUUUUUUCCCAUUAAAAAUAUUUUGCAUUUGACAAAUUUCAGUAGAAAAAUUCCAAACCAAUGCAUGUACAAAGCUGAGUACAUAGAGGAAUGAGGCCAUCUUUAAUGAGGAUGGUAAUUUAAUGGGGCAAUCUUGCUUUUCCUCUCUUGACCCAUUCCUUACAUACUCUCAGUCUUUGCACUGCUGAAGAAGUCAGCUACCGCAGAAGCACUACAACUGCCAGUCUUUCAUGAAGCAGUAACUAUUCAGGGGGGCUUCAGCCUUUGAGGCAUCAAAAGAAUCUUAUUAAUGUCCCUUUGCUGCUGGAAAUUCAACUAUCUUGCAUUAAUGAAUUAAAAAAAAAUAAAUAAAAAAUAAGAGUUAACCACAACACCCAGUCCAGUCAUCAUUCUUCAUCUACUGCACCUGAUAGAGUGAGGAAAUCCCAGCUGAUGCAAUGCAGCCAUUGAUAAAUAGGGGUUGAGAAGAAUAUCAGUGCUGUAUCUCUUGCAGACUUGCUAUUGAACUUUAGGCCUAAUCAUCAUUCCCAGGCUCUCAUCAGGCUGUUUUAAUUAACUUGCCAUCAGUGACUUCUGUAGAAGCAGAUAAAAUAUUAUAGGUACAAUGUUAUGGCCAGGUGCAAUAUUAAAGCCAAUAGUAUUUGGAAAAUGAAGGAAAAGGGGACUUUGCUGAGAACAGUGCUCAUCUCUAGAACCAUCCUUCUUCAGUGCCUGAAAGACAGAUAGCCCUCCCAGUCAAGAUGCAGUUCCCAGGACAGAAGUGCCUUUACAAGAGAGGUGAAAGAAUGGUGCCUCUAAUUCAUGGCAGCUCAGCAGCUGUUCCUGAGCAGCUGUGGUACCUCUACUGUGGAGGCAAGAACCUAGGAGAGAAGGGCAGGGCACAUUUCCUGACUGAGUCAAAGGCACAAGGUGCUGGCCAACACUGAGAUGCCAAACUAGAGGCUGGUGCACCCACCAGAUCUGAUGCCUCUAGGAGAUUGUGCAGGUCCAAGCAGCAGCUCAAAGUGCUAUGAAG